AAACAGAAAGUACGCAGAUUAUGGAUACACUCCAGGAAUAUAUAUUUGGCACCUUCAACAUUCGAGCACGUAUCUCUCCAUUUUUACCAAAUGGUAUCAAAUGUUUGUGUAUAGAUUAUGUUUUACAAAGUAAAUCUGGUAAAGAUAUCAUUGUAUAUACAAUAUUUCAUAGCGUGGCAAAAAGACUUGGUCUACGUUGCGAUGUACUAGCUGUUUUUAAUCGAAUCUGUAUAUUUUGGAAACCAGAAUUCGUCACGAAUAAUUUAGAAAAUGCACGAUGUUUACACACACAAAACCAUUCCCCUGCGUAUUUUAGUAUUGAAAAUCGAUCAGAACACAUGUCUGAGAGACCAGUCGCAAUAACAAUUACAAAGGUUAAAAAUUUCUUAUUUAUUACUUCUAAUAAUUUUAAGUUAUUAACUGUAAGCAUUUUUAUAUAUUUUAACUUUAUUGCCGUAUGUAUAAGGGAAAGGAAAGCGAGAGAGAUGUUAAUCUAUUUUAUUUAUAUUUUCGUUUACUUGUCUUUAGACGGUUUAGUUUUAUUAUGCGUUAUAUUUUUAUUUAUUUGUGCGACCGUCAACCUAAUCUCUCUCGUUCGUAAGAAUUAUUGUUUUCGCGAGCACCGAACGAUUUUGUGUAAAAUUACUCCGAUUGGUCCGGUACUUUGGGGUGGGAAUAUUUUAGACAAGCGAGUAUAAAAGUGAGGAUAUUUGAGCGCGCGACACACUUUGACACAGUCUGACAAUCUGAGAAAGUACUUAUUCUGGCGGCGUUACCAGCAGCUCCGGCGUCUGUAUCGACUCUACAGUAUAUAUAUAUAUAUACACAUCGGAUCGCAAAUAAAUACAUU